CCAUAUUUGGUGCUGGAAAAUUCAGUUUCACUUUCGAAACUCAAAGCCAAACGCCAACGCUGCGCACAAAGUAGAAAGCUCCAAAAUAAGGUUUUUCUGGUGUUGAUUUAUGAUAUGUCUGAUGCUUUAACUGUUCUUCACUUGCUCUUGCUUUUUUCCAAUCAAAACCCAACUCUCUCAUCCUUCCCUCCCAGGUUUUACACUGUUCCACCUCCCUUCUCUUUCCUUCUUAUCUUGUCAUUGAAAUCUAUACACUUAACUUGUCUUUUCCUUCUAACUAUAAUAAUAUAACCAGUCAAACAUUCUCUUUCCUUUCUUUUUCUGUCGUUAAUUCCUUUUUACCUUAGUUGGUAUUAAUUAUGUUCCCAUACAUUUUGAUUGGGGGCAAUGUCUUGUUAAAUUGCAGACGCUAAUAACUAAAAGCUCAAAUUAACAAAGUCUUCCAUUUUACGCAACUAUUACCAGG
rnacentral:lncRNA from 1 species